GUGAGGAAUAUUGGACAAUGGGCGCAAGCCUGAUCCAGCCAUGCCGCGUGAGUGAUGAAGGCCUUCGGGUUGUAAAGCUCUUUAGCCGAUGAUUAUAAUGACUGUAGUCGGAAAAUAAGCCCCGGCUAACUUCGUGCCAGCAGCCGCGGUAAUACGAAGGGGGCGAGCGUUAUUCGGAAUCACUGGGCGUAAAGCGUGCGUAGGCGGCUUUGCAAGUUGGGAGUGAAAGCCCAGGGCUCAACCCUGGAAUUGCUCUCAAAACUGCAAGGCUCGAAUUCGGGAGAGGAUAGCGGAAUUGUCAGUGUAGCAGUGAAAUGCGUAGAUAUUGACAGGAACACCAGUGGCGUAAGCGGCUAUCUGGACCGAUAUUGACGCUGAGGUGCGAAAGCGUGGGGAGCAAACAGGAUUAGAAACCCGUGUAGUCC
rnacentral:rRNA from 1 species